UCUUGUCUGAAAAGAGUUCCUGGACUUCCUACAAAAUUGUUAUGCACCUUCACUCCAGAGGUUCAGCUCAUUAAUCUUGUUAAGAGAAGCAAGGGAUCUGCAGUAGAAGAAAAGCCUGCUGACAUCAAAUCUUCAUAGGUUUUUCCAGGAUUCACACCACAUAGAGGUCAGUGCAUUCAGAAGGAGGCUCCAGGCCCAGAGACAGUCACAAAGCACCAGGAAUCUCUUCAUGGUGGACUCUGAAACUAGAAGGAAAAUAACCAUCAACAUCCCCUACAUUAAAGCAGUCGUGCUUGGUUGGUUAGUGUUUGACCAUAACCAGGAUUUUUAAGAACUGACAUUAGUUACACACUGAGCUGCCAGGCUGCUCCCAGUCCAGUUGCUGCCCUGUCUGUCUGCAGGCCCUG